rnacentral:tRNA from 1 species
GCCUAGAUAGCUCAGUUGGCUAGAGCAUUCGGUUCAUACCCGAACGGUCGUAGGUUCGAAUCCUAUUCUAGGCACCA